rnacentral:Y_RNA from 1 species
GGCUGGACCCAUGGUAAUGGGUUGUCACUACUAACAUUAAUGUCAUGAAAGUUGUCAACAACCCCCACUGCUAAAUUUGACUGAGUUUUAA